AUGGCAUCUUUGGGCCGCGCCGCCGCGAGAGCAGCCCUCCGCCCGGCGCCCCUCGCCGCCGGCCGCAGCCUCGGCUCGUCCCUGCCGGCUGCCUCCCCCGCACGAGCCGCCCGCCUCCUCCGCAGGUCGGCGGUGGCGGGAUUGGAGACGCUGUUGCCCCUGCACACCGCGGUGGCGUCGGCGCGCCUCAAGUCCUGCAUCGCCGUCGACUCCACCUGCUGGAGCUCCCUCUCCCAAGGUUUUAAAAAGCGCAUCUGAUCAUGGUUAGGAGCUGCACAGGUGAGAAGCGAAGACACCUGAGUUAAAAACAAAGAUAUGCUUUGCCUUUGUGACAAAGAGCUGCAAGUACCUGAAGAUGCCAAUGAACAUUAGGGAUUACAGACACCUCGGGCUGUAAUAAUUAGGUACUUGUAAACUGAUGGUGCACCCAAACCUGUUAAGUUUUAUAACGUGAUCCGUUCAUGUCUUGGUGUUGAAAGUUUUAUACCACAUUGAUUUUCCGCAGCUCUUCCGUUGUUACGAGUACUGUAUUUCCUUGAGCAUUCACUUCUAAUAUUUGAAACUGUGUUCCUGUGAA